GCCCCAGACUCCUACGGGAGGCAGCAGUGGGGAAUAUUGCACAAUGGGGGAAACCCUGAUGCAGCGACGCCGCGUGAGCGAAGAAGUAUUUCGGUAUGUAAAUCUCUAUCAGCAGGGAAGAAAUUGACGGUACCUGAGUAAGAAGCUCCGGCUAAAUACGUGCCAGCAGCCGCGGUAAUACGUAUGGAGCAAGCGUUAUCCGGAUUUACUGGGUGUAAAGGGAGCGUAGGCGGCCUGCCAAGUCUGAUGUGAAAUAUCGGGGCUCAACCCCGGGGCUGCAUUGGAAACUGGCAGGCUGGAGUGUCGGAGAGGCAGGCGGAAUUCCUAGUGUAGCGGUGAAAUGCGUAGAUAUUAGGAGGAACACCAGUGGCGAAGGCGGCCUGCUGGACUGCAACUGACGUUGAGGCUCGAAGGCGUGGGGAGCAAACAGGAUUAGAUACCCCCGUA
rnacentral:rRNA from 1 species